rnacentral:rRNA from 1 species
CAGUCGCCGCGGUAAUACGUAGGUCCCGAGCGUUGUCCGGAUUUAUUGGGCGUAAAGCGAGCGCAGGCGGUUAGAUAAGUCUGAAGUUAAAGGCUGUGGCUUAACCAUAGUACGCUUUGGAAACUGUUUAACUUGAGUGCAGAAGGGGAGAGUGGAAUUCCAUGUGUAGCGGUGAAAUGCGUAGAUAUAUGGAGGAACACCGGUGGCGAAAGCGGCUCUCUGGUCUGUAACUGACGCUGAGGCUCGAAAGCGUGGGGAGCAAACAGGAUUAGAUACCCGUGUAGUCCCUGUCUCUUAUACC